UAUUAUUUAAUUUAAAAGUGAUUAGACUGGGGUAGUAGUAGUUAAGUUCUUAAAACUCAAAGAAUUUGGCGGUUUUUUAGUCCAUUUAGAGGAAUCUGUUCCUUGAUCGAUAAUACACGAUUAGUUAAACUUGUUUUAGUUGUCAGUUUAUAUACCGCCGUCGUAAGGAUAUCUCAUGAGGGUAUUAAUUUUCUUGAAUUGUUAUUUAUUUUAUGUCAGGUCAAGGUGUAGCUUAUAAAUAAGUGGAAAUGGAUUACAAUUAAUUUAUUAAAUACGGAUUUGAAUUUUAAGUUGUUCAAUAAAGGUGGAUUUGAUUGUAAAUGACUUUUAAAUAAUGUAAUUGAUUAUGGCUCUAGAAUGUGUACAUAUCGCCCGUCGCUCUCACUUAAAGGUGAG
rnacentral:rRNA from 1 species